rnacentral:rRNA from 1 species
AUUGGACGCUGGCGGCAUGCCUUACACAUGCAAGUCGAACGGCAGCACGGGGCAACCUGGUGGCGAGUGGCGAACGGGUGAGUAAUGCAUCGGAACGUACCUUUCAGUGGGGGAUAACGUAGCGAAAGUUACGCUAAUACCGCAUAUUCUGUGAGCAGGAAAGCAGGGGAUCGCAGGACCUUGCGCUGAUUGAGCGGCCGAUGUCAGAUUAGCUAGUUGGUGAGGUAAAGGCUCACCAAGGCGACGAUCUGUAGCGGGUCUGAGAGGAUGAUCCGCCACACUGGAACUGAGACACGGUCCAGACUCCUACGGGAGGCAGCAGUGGGGAAUUUUGGACAAUGGGGGCAACCCUGAUCCAGCCAUGCCGCGUGAGUGAAGAAGGCCUUCGGGUUGUAAAGCUCUUUCGGCCGGGAAGAAAUCGCACGGGCUAAUACCCUGUGUGGAUGACGGUACCGGAAUAAGAAGCACCGGCUAACUACGUGCCAGCAGCCGCCGUAAUAC